GAGUUUGAUCCUGGCUCAGGACGAACGCUGGCGGCGUGCUUAACACAUGCAAGUCGAGCGAUGAAGCUUCCUUCGGGAAGUGGAUUAGCGGCGGACGGGUGAGUAACACGUGGGUAACCUGCCUCAAAGUGGGGGAUAGCCUUCCGAAAGGAAGAUUAAUACCGCAUAAUAUAAGAGAAUCGCAUGAUUUUCUUAUCAAAGAUUUAUUGCUUUGAGAUGGACCCGCGGCGCAUUAGCUAGUUGGUAAGGUAACGGCUUACCAAGGCAACGAUGCGUAGCCGACCUGAGAGGGUGAUCGGCCACAUUGGAACUGAGACACGGUCCAGACUCCUACGGGAGGCAGCAGUGGGGAAUAUUGCGCAAUGGGGGAAACCCUGACGCAGCAACGCCGCGUGGGUGAUGAAGGUCUUCGGAUUGUAAAGCCCUGUUUUCUAGAACGAUAAUGACGGUACUAGAGGAGGAAGCCACGGCUAACUACGUGCCAGCAGCCGCGGUAAUACGUAGGUGGCGAGCGUUGUCCGGAUUUACUGGGCGUAAAGGGUGCGUAGGCGGAUGUUUAAGUGGGAUGUGAAAUCCCCGGGCUUAACCUGGGGGCUGCAUUCCAAACUGGAUAUCUAGAGUGCAGGAGAGGAAAGCGGAAUUCCUAGUGUAGCGGUGAAAUGCGUAGAGAUUAGGAAGAACACCAGUGGCGAAGGCGGCUUUCUGGACUGUAACUGACGCUGAGGCACGAAAGCGUGGGUAGCAAACAGGAUUAGAUACCCUGGUAGUCCACGCCGUAAACGAUGGAUACUAGGUGUAGGGGGUAUCAACUCCCCCUGUGCCGCAGUUAACACAAUAAGUAUCCCGCCUGGGGAGUACGGUCGCAAGAUUAAAACUCAAAGGAAUUGACGGGGGCCCGCACAAGCAGCGGAGCAUGUGGUUUAAUUCGAAGCAACGCGAAGAACCUUACCUGGACUUGACAUCCCUUGCAUAGCCUAGAGAUAGGUGAAGCCCUUCGGGGCAAGGAGACAGGUGGUGCAUGGUUGUCGUCAGCUCGUGUCGUGAGAUGUUAGGUUAAGUCCUGCAACGAGCGCAACCCUUGUUAUUAGUUGCUACCAUUAAGUUGAGCACUCUAAUGAGACUGCCUGGGUAACCAGGAGGAAGGUGGGGAUGACGUCAAAUCAUCAUGCCCCUUAUGUCCAGGGCUACACACGUGCUACAAUGGUAGGUACAAUAAGACGCAAGACCGUGAGGUGGAGCAAAACUUAUAAAACCUAUCUCAGUUCGGAUUGUAGGCUGCAACUCGCCUACAUGAAGCUGGAGUUGCUAGUAAUCGCGAAUCAGAAUGUCGCGGUGAAUACGUUCCCGGGCCUUGUACACACCGCCCGUCACACCAUGAGAGCUGGUAACACCCGAAGUCCGUGAGGUAACCGUAAGGAACCAGCGGCCGAAGGUGGGAUUAGUGAUUGGGGUGAAGUCGUAACAAGGUAGCCGUAGGAGAACCUGCGGCUGGAUCACC
rnacentral:rRNA from 1 species